GGUUAAGCGACUAAGCGUACACGGUGGAUGCCCUGGCAGUCAGAGGCGAUGAAGGACGUGCUAAUCUGCGAAAAGCGUCGGUAAGGUGAUAUGAACCGUUAUAACCGGCGAUGUCCGAAUGGGGAAACCCAGUGCAAUUCGUUGCACUAUCGUUAACUGAAUACAUAGGUUAACGAGGCGAACCGGGGGAACUGAAACAUCUAAGUACCCCGAGGAAAAGAAAUCAACCGAGAUUCCCCCAGUAGCGGCGAGCGAACGGGGAGCAGCCCAGAGUCUGAAUCAGCUUGUGUGUUAGUGGAACGGUCUGGAAAGUCCGACGGUACAGGGUGAUAGUCCCGUACACCAAAAUGCACAGGUUGUGAACUCGAAGAGUAGGGCGGGACACGUGGUAUCCUGUCUGAAUAUGGGGGGACCAUCCUCCAAGGCUAAAUACUCCUGACUGACCGAUAGUGAACCAGUACCGUGAGGGAAAGGCGAAAAGAACCCCGGCGAGGGGAGUGAAAAAGAACCUGAAACCGUGUACGUACAAGCAGUGGGAGCACCUUCGGGUGUGACUGCGUACCUUUUGUAUAAUGGGUCAGCGACUUAUAUUCUGUAGCAAGGUUAACCGUAUAGGGGAGCCGCAGGGAAACCGAGUCUUAACUGGGCGUUAAGUUGCAGGGUAUAGACCCGAAACCCGGUGAUCUAGCCAUGGGCAGGUUGAAGGUUGGGUAACACUAACUGGAGGACCGAACCGACUAAUGUUGAAAAAUUAGCGGAUGACUUGUGGCUGGGGGUGAAAGGCCAAUCAAACCGGGAGAUAGCUGGUUCUCCCCGAAAGCUAUUUAGGUAGCGCCUCGUGAAUUCAUCUUCGGGGGUAGAGCACUGUUUCGGCUAGGGGGUCAUCCCGACUUACCAACCCGAUGCAAACUACGAAUACCGAAGAAUGUUAUCACGGGAGACACACGGCGGGUGCUAACGUCCGUCGUGAAGAGGGAAACAACCCAGACCGCCAGCUAAGGUCCCAAAGUCAUGGUUAAGUGGGAAACGAUGUGGGAAGGCACAGACAGCCAGGAUGUUGGCUUAGAAGCAGCCAUCAUUUAAAGAAAGCGUAAUAGCUCACUGGUCGAGUCGGCCUGCGCGGAAGAUGUAACGGGGCUAAACCAUGCACCGAAGCUGCGGCAGCGACACUAUGUGUUGUUGGGUAGGGGAGCGUUCUGUAAGCCUGCGAAGGUGACCUGUGAGGGUUGCUGGAGGUAUCAGAAGUGCGAAUGCUGACAUAAGUAACGAUAAAGCGGGUGAAAAGCCCGCUCGCCGGAAGACCAAGGGUUCCUGUCCAACGUUAAUCGGGGCAGGGUGAGUCGACCCCUAAGGCGAGGCCGAAAGGCGUAGUCGAUGGGAAACAGGUUAAUAUUCCUGUACUUGGUGUUACUGCGAAGGGGGGACGGAGAAGGCUAUGUUAGCCGGGCGACGGUUGUCCCGGUUUAAGCAUGUAGGCUGGUUAUCCAGGCAAAUCCGGAUAAUCAAGGCUGAGGUGUGAUGACGAGGCACUACGGUGCUGAAGUAACAAAUGCCCUGCUUCCAGGAAAAGCCUCUAAGCAUCAGGUAACAUCAAAUCGUACCCCAAACCGACACAGGUGGUCAGGUAGAGAAUACCAAGGCGCUUGAGAGAACUCGGGUGAAGGAACUAGGCAAAAUGGUGCCGUAACUUCGGGAGAAGGCACGCUGGUGUGUAGGUGAAGCCCCUGCGGGUGGAGCUGAGACCAGUCGAAGAUACCAGCUGGCUGCAACUGUUUAUUAAAAACACAGCACUGUGCAAACACGAAAGUGGACGUAUACGGUGUGACGCCUGCCCGGUGCCGGAAGGUUAAUUGAUGGGGUUAUCCGUAAGGAGAAGCUCUUGAUCGAAGCCCCGGUAAACGGCGGCCGUAACUAUAACGGUCCUAAGGUAGCGAAAUUCCUUGUCGGGUAAGUUCCGACCUGCACGAAUGGCGUAAUGAUGGCCAGGCUGUCUCCACCCAAGACUCAGUGAAAUUGAACUCGCUGUGAAGAUGCAGUGUACCCGCGGCAAGACGGAAAGACCCCGUGAACCUUUACUAUAGCUUGACACUGAACAUUGAGCCUUGAUGUGUAGGAUAGGUGGGAGGCUUUGAAGCGUGGACGCCAGUCUGCGUGGAGCCAACCUUGAAAUACCACCCUUUAAUGUUUGAUGUUCUAACGUUGGCCCCUGACCGGGGUUGCGGACAGUGUCUGGUGGGUAGUUUGACUGGGGCGGUCUCCUCCCAAAGCGUAACGGAGGAGCACGAAGGUUAGCUAAUCCUGGUCGGACAUCAGGAGGUUAGUGCAAUGGCAUAAGCUAGCUUGACUGCGAGCGUGACGGCGCGAGCAGGUGCGAAAGCAGGUCAUAGUGAUCCGGUGGUUCUGAAUGGAAGGGCCAUCGCUCAACGGAUAAAAGGUACUCCGGGGAUAACAGGCUGAUACCGCCCAAGAGUUCAUAUCGACGGCGGUGUUUGGCACCUCGAUGUCGGCUCAUCACAUCCUGGGGCUGAAGUAGGUCCCAAGGGUAUGGCUGUUCGCCAUUUAAAGUGGUACGCGAGCUGGGUUUAGAACGUCGUGAGACAGUUCGGUCCCUAUCUGCCGUGGGCGCUGGAGAAUUGAGGGGGGCUGCUCCUAGUACGAGAGGACCGGAGUGGACGCAUCACUGGUGUUCGGGUUGUCAUGCCAAUGGCACUGCCCGGUAGCUAAAUGCGGAAGAGAUAAGUGCUGAAAGCAUCUAAGCACGAAACUUGCCCCGAGAUGAGUUCUCCCUGAGACUUUAAGUCUCCUGAAGGAACGUUGAAGACGACGACGUUGAUAGGCCGGGUGUGUAAGCGCAGCGAUGCGUUGAGCUAACCGGUACUAAUGAACCGUGAGGCUUAACCUU
rnacentral:rRNA from 1 species